CUCCAGCUCACUUUCCCUCUGCUCCUGUCAACCAGGAUUUCAGCACCCAAAUUAGUGCAAGGCCCCAACCCAAGGAAGCAUCAACUGAAUUGUCAGCCCAAUGAAUGACCCACCCUGGGGACAUGCUGUUAUAGCCCUGCCUCAGCUGUCACCUUCCUGUGGCCUUCCACUUUUCCUCAGCAUGAAGAGCUGCCAAAAACAGCAGUCAAAUUCUCCCUGAGGAAGAAGAAGCUGUGUUCAAGGCUUCUGCUCAUUCUUUCACCAAACUACCUUGCCUUCACAAAGGUGAGAAGGUGACACAAGCCCUCAAAUGCCAUGUUGGUGACCAAUCAUCAUCCUUUCAGUGGCUGUUCACAGACCCUACCAAGUCCCGCCCUAGUCAUGCAAUCCCAAAGAGUGUCUGACAUGGACACUCUGACAAGGUGGGCAAGAAGACAGAAGUAUGGAAUCAAGGCUGGAGAAAUGGGUGUGGGGCAAGAUCUUACAUCUUCAGAAUCUUACAUCAGGAAGCACUGCCCUCUUUUCCUGGGAAUGAACUAUAAGAGUCUGUACCAGCUGUGAAAUAAAAGUCGAAGAAAGAAAAUCCCUGAAGACCUA
rnacentral:lncRNA from 1 species